AGGGAUCAUUACUGAGUUUUCAACUCUCCAAACCAUGUGAACUUACCACUGUUGCCUCGGUGGUUGGCGCUCCUCCCUCUCUGAAAGGGGCGCCGCCGCCGGCGGACAAACUAAACUCUUGUCAACUUUGUCAAAUCUGAAUCUAAACUAAGAAAUAAGUUAAAACUUUCAACAACGGAUCUCUUGGUUCUG
rnacentral:misc_RNA from 1 species